UUACCUACGGGGGGCAGCAGUCGGGAAUAUUGCGCAAUGGAGGAAACUCUGACGCAGUGACGCCGCGUGCAGGAAGAAGGUUUUCGGAUUGUAAACUGCUUUAGACAGGGAAGAUAAUGACAGUACCUGUAGAAUAAGCUCCGGCUAACUACGUGCCAGCAGCCGCGGUAAUACGUAGGUGGCAAGCGUUGUCCGGAAUUACUGGGUGUAAAGGGAGCGCAGGCGGGAAGCCAAGUCAGCUGUGAAAACUACGGGCUUAACUAGUAGACUGCAGUUGAAACUGGUUUUCUUGAGUGAAGUAGAGG
rnacentral:rRNA from 1 species